UUUUUAUGAUUGGAAUCAGAUUUAAUUUAUGAGAGAAUCAAGCAGAAUUGGAAUGACAAAUUUAAAUAUAUUCACAUCGCUUCAAAAAGACAGGAACACGUGGGAAUCCUUCUACCACGUCCUUAGAUACCGUCGUUGGACUAGUGAGUUGACCCCUACACAUAUCACUUUACAGUGCAUCCGGAAAGUAUUCACAAAGUGUUUUUCCACAUUUUGUUAUGUUACAGCCUUAUUCCAAAAUUGAAUUAAAUUCAUUAUUUUGAUAAAUAAUUUCAUUAUAUAGAUCCUUCCCUGAGGGUCUAUGAAGAAAGGCACAUGGUAAGUCCACUGUCUCUUUAGUUAUUAGAAAUAUUGUCAUUUAUAUCAAGAUUUCAUACGAAGCUUUUGGUUGAGGUCACUGGUAUGACCUACAUUAUUCUUAGGGAAAUGUAAAAAAUAAAUUUAAAAAAAAAUAAAUUUUAAUACAAAUGGAUUAAAUUACAUAUUUUAGUGUGUAUGCCAUGAUUUACAACAUGUGGCUUGAGGCCCUGUAGCAGCUUUGUAAAAUGUAUUUUUCAUGAAAAUUGUCACUGGUGUUACCUUACUUAUAGGUAACACUGGUGACUCCUAUGUAAAUGGCGCACUUAUAUAGCACUUUUAUCCAAAGCGCUUUACACUGUCUCAUUCACACACACACACACACACACACACACACACACACACACACACACACACACACACACACACCCCAAUGGUAGCAGAGCUGCCAUGCAAGGUGCUAACUUACCAUCGGGAGCAACUUGGGGUUUAGUGUCUUACGCAAGGACACUUCGGCAUGUGGAGUCAUGUGGGCCAGCAAUCGAACCGCCAACCCUACAAUUAGUGGACAACCCGCUCUACCACCUGAGCCACAGGCCGCCCUAUGUAUAAAUAAACUUUAUUCAAUGCUGUUCCUUGAGUUCUUUUGCAUAGAACAGGGGUGUCCAAUCUUAUCCAGAAAGGGCCGGUGUGGGUGCAGGUUUUCAUUCCAAUCAAGCAGAAGCCACACCUGAGUCUACUGAAAGCCAAGAUCAACUGAUUAAACAGGAGGAAUCAGGUGUGGCUCCUGCUUGGUUGGAAUGAAAACCUGCACCCACACCGGCCCUUUCCGGAUAAGAUUGGACACCCCUGGCAUAGAAUAUCACUGUUUUCAGGAUUAUAACGUCUUUCUCAUUGUUAAUGCUCUUUUGCACAGUUAUGGCUAAAUUGAGUGCAGCUGAGAACUAGCGGCAGUACAGGCAGCGUAGAGAUGCUGAUCCCAAAUGAUAAUGGUCUUUUUUGGACCUUUUUAGUUGUUACUCUUAAUUGAGUUCAAGUGUGCUUAAGCUCUUAUUUAUGAACGUUCAGGUGUUUUGACCUAUUGUCAAUGAGUUUGACUGCAUGCCAAAUGAAACCAUUUUCUUAAUUAGAUUUGAGGAAUAAGGAUCUUUGGUCUUGUAUGUCACUGGUGAUUCAUUGUGUCACUGGUGUUACUGUGUGUUUUUUCUUAUCAUUUUCUGUAUCAUUGUGUGUAUCAUUAUGUCUCAUUUACGGAUGAUGGAGGCCACUGUGCUCAUUGGGACCUUCAAUGCUGCAGAAAUGUUUCUGUACCCUUCCCCAGACCUGUGCCUCGAUAGAAUCCUGUCUCGGAGGUCUACAGACAAUUCCUUGGACUUCAUGGCUUGGUUUGUGCUCUGACAUGCUUUGUUAACUGUGGGACCUUAUAUAGAUAGGUGUGUGCCUUACCAAAUCAUGUCCAAUCAACUGAAUUUACCACAGGUGGACUCCAAUCAAGUUGUAGAAACAUCUCAAGGAUGAUCAGUGAAACAGGAUGCACCUAAGCUCAAUUUUGAGUGUCAUGGCAAAGGCUGUGAAUACUUAUGUAUAUGUGCUUUUUUUGUUUUUUUAUUUGUAAUAAAUUUGCAAAGAUUUCAGACAAAUUUAUUUCAUGUUUUGAAUUUUGAGGAAAAUAAUUAUUUUAAUUCAUUUUGGAAUAAGGCUUAAAAAACAUUUUUUUAAAAAUGUGGAAAAAAUGAAGCACUGUGAAUAAUUUCCGGAUGCACUGUAUUUGCACAAUUUGGAGAUGCAGUUUUUCACAGAUUGUUGAACCUCUUUACUUCUGAGAGACUCUGCUGUUCUAAGAUAUGCUUUUUAUACCCAAUCAUAGGUGUAGGAGUCGGGGCUGUGGACGUCUCUCCCUCCUCUGCCUCCAUAAUCUCAGCCCAAGUGAGAUGUGUAGGAGUUGGGGCUGUGGACAUCUCUGCCUCCUCUUCCUCCAUAAUCACACCCAAGGUGGGAGGUGUAGGAAUGGGGGCUGUAGACGUCUCGGGUUCCUCUGCCUCCAUAAUCUCAGCCCAAGUGAGACUUGUUGGAGUUGGGGCUGUGGAGGUCUCUGCCUCCAUACUCUCUGAUCGAGUGAGAUGUGUUGGAGUUGGGGCUGUGGAUGUCUCUGCCUCCAUACUCUCUGCCCAAGUGAGACGUGUUGGAGUUGGGGCUGUGGACGUCUCUGCCUCCUCUGCCUCCAUAAUCUCAGCCCAAGUGAGAGCUGUUGGAGUUGGGACUGUGUACGUCUCUGCCUCCACUGCCUCCACAAUCUCUGCCUAAGUGAGAGGUGAUGGAGUUGGGCUGUGGAUGUCUCUGCCUCCACUGCCUCCAUUAUCUCACCUCUUGUGAGAGGUGUAGGAGUUGGGGCUGUGGAUGUCACUGGCUCCACUGCCUCCAUUAUCUCACCUCCUAUGAGAGGUGUAGGAGUUGGGGCUGUGGAUGUCAUGGGCUUCUCUGCCUUCAUUAUUUCACCCCCUGUGAGAGGUGUAGGAGUUGGGGCUGUGGAUGUCACAGGCUUCUCUGCCUUCAUUAUCUCCCCCCCUGUGAGAUGUGAAGGAGUUGGGGGUGUGGGUGAAGAUACAUCAGGCACUGCAUCCCUGCGUUGGCCAGGAGGCAGAUUGGAGGUGAGCUGACGCUCAAGCGGUAAUGUGGACACAGGUGCCAUUUGUUCAUCU
ensembl:lncRNA